rnacentral:rRNA from 1 species
GACGAACGCUGGCGGCGUGCUUAACACAUGCAAGUCGAACGGAAAGGCCCUGCUUUUGUGGGGUGCUCGAGUGGCGAACGGGUGAGUAACACGUGAGUAACCUGCCCUUGACUUUGGGAUAACUUCAGGAAACUGGGGCUAAUACCGGAUAGGAGCUCCUGCUGCAUGGUGGGGGUUGGAAAGUUUCGGCGGUUGGGGAUGGACUCGCGGCUUAUCAGCUUGUUGGUGGGGUAGUGGCUUACCAAGGCUUUGACGGGUAGCCGGCCUGAGAGGGUGACCGGCCACAUUGGGACUGAGAUACGGCCCAGACUCCUACGGGAGGCAGCAGUGGGGAAUAUUGCACAAUGGGCGGAAGCCUGAUGCAGCAACGCCGCGUGCGGGAUGACGGCCUUCGGGUUGUAAACCGCUUUCGCAUGUGACGAAGCGUGCGUGACGGUAAUGGGUAAAGAAGCACCGGCUAACUACGUG